UAAAUGGUCAUUUCAUAAAUCUUUUAAUAUCUGAAUCACAUAAAUCAUUUUGAAAUCAUAGCAAUUAUUUUAAUUAUGCUAUAAAUUUUUCAUAUAUAUAUAUAUAUAUAUAUAUGUAUAUAUAUGACGCUUACACAUUUGGUAUAUCAUAUAUGCCAAUAAAUUGUUAUACUAAAUACUAAUUAAACAGGGAAGCAUCACUGGAACAGUAGUUUUGAUUCUGAGCAAGUGGAAAAGCUCUCACAUUCUCACCUUCAAUGAAGAAUUGUUCUUCAUAUACCUUCUUCCUCCAACUAUUUUCAAUGCCUUGUAAGGCAGCUGAUGGCUACUUCCUAGGUUGAAAUUCCACGAUCUGGAUGCAAAAGAUUAUCUUGUUUUGGGAACAAUUUUCUCAUCAACCCAUACAGUCUGCACAUUACAGGUUCUCCAUCAAGAUGAAACUCCUUUGCAAUAAAGUUUAGUCUUUGGCACCGACAAGGGGAAAUGCAAGAGCAAAAGAAGGACCAAGUGCUGCAAUGCUAUGGUUUUAAAACAGAUAGAGAACAGCGAGAAGCGUAGCCAUGGUCAACAGGAAUGAGCUUGCAGCAACCUUAGGCUGUCCAUUAGGUGAUUUCUCUGCUGCUGCUGUAGAUCCACCUGGGCUAGGAGCUGGGGGUGUCAAUGAAACAGAAGGUAAAGGUGGCUCUGUCACAUCCUGCUUGGUCAGGAUUGGAUUUGGGGCCUCAGCUGGUGGCAAAUAAGGAGGAGUAAUUAGUUGUAUGAGACUAUCAGGCAGAACAGGACUCAUGUAACUUGGUGCGUUGGGAAGACCAAAGCAUCGGUUUUCUGCAUUAGAAACAAGCAAAUCAGUCAAUAAAUGCUAACCUUUAAAA